GGAGAAGCGUCCGUAGAGGUAUUGAUUUGUAGCUUCAAUUAUGGGUGUGAAGCCCCUUCUUCA
rnacentral:tRNA from 1 species